GGGAGGCAGAGACUGGUGGAUUCCUAGGGCUGGCUGGCCAGCCAGCCUGGCCCAAUGGGUGAACUCCAGGAUGGCACCGGAGGACAUGCACACACACACUCAACACACUAGCAGUUAAUGUGCAUGUGCAUACACAUACACACACACACACACACACACACACACACACAACGAAAGAAAAUAGAAAAGGUCACUUCACCAUGUGGUUUCAACAGCUCUCCCAGCACCUAGAACAUCAGAAGUAACCAGCGCUUGGAAAAGGACCACUGUCACAGAAGUGCUAACAACGGUGGAAGACAAUGAAAGCUGCUUGGCAACGUUUUGCUGUGAAGACUGAAGGAGACAAAACGUUGGACAUGCUAACAUGGUGCCAGCUGACAGAAGACACCCAGGAAAUAGAGGCAUUGCCAACUUCUAGCUGCCACACGAUCAAAUGGUCUAAACACAUCCCAAAGGGAAAAGAUUCUGGCUCGUCCAACUGCUGAAAUGAGAACAGAAAGAAAACGCAGCAUCCUUAACCUGAGACAGGAGCUCUGCACCGGAUAGUGAGGGGUUUUGGGGGGCAGUGGUAGGUUUGCACGUAGCCCAGAUUGGCAUCAAACCCCUUAUGUAGCCAGAGAUGACCUUUAAUGUCUGAAACUCCUGCCUCUGCUUCCCAAGGACUGGGAUUACAGGACUGCACCACUCCACAUUUCUGGCCCUGCAGAUGAGUUUCAAUAGCAUGGGACAUUGGGAGAAGGUGCAAGCACGUGUGUGCAGCUCCACAGAAAGGGCCGUGAAAUAGAUGAACGGGUAUUGCACAGCUCAGCUAGAGGUGCUGCUGGUUUGUGGUCCCCCCAAAGAGAAGCACCUGCUGACCCUUCUUGACCUUCUGAUGGCCAACACUUCACAGUAAUGAGCUUCUGUAAGGCACACACGUGUGGUCCUUGUUUCCAGCUGCUAGAGGAAAGUAUAGCAAAAGGUGCAAUGCUCUUAAAAGCGUAAAUUCGAGUUUAUUAGACUGGGAUGAAAGAUGUGUUAAAGCACAGUUUACAGUGAAAGGACUCCCAGGACCAAAACGCUUGAAAAGUACAGUCCCAGCAAGAGAAGCAAAGGGAAUGUGUGUGUGUGUGUGUGUGUGUGUGUGUGUGUGUGUGUGUGUGUUACUCAAGUGGGUGAACACAUGUGUGUAUGCGUAAGGACGUCAGCAGCCAGGCCUAUGUGUCUUCCUCUACUUCUCUCCAUCUUAUUUUUGGGGACAGGGUCCCUCACUAAACCUGGAGCUUGCUGGUUUGCUAGAUAGACUGGCUUAUCCCGUGUCCACCCCGUACUGGGAUUUUAGCAGCACGCUACCAUGCUGGACUUUUAAAUGUGAGUUCCAAGGAUCUGAACUCAGGGCCUCAUGCUUGUGUGGCGAGCAUUUUAUUCACUAUCCUAUCUCACAGCUUCAAGGUCUAAGCAUCUUAAGUAUUCUUAGUGUUGGUGUUUAUUUACCCAGGAGAGGGAGGAUUUUGGGGGUAAUAAAGCCUGGGCAGCUUCUAAAACAUAGAACAAAAAGGUUGAGGUGAAAAUAAAAUAACUGAGUCAAGAUGUGUUUCAGGCUGGCUUGUGGGAGCUAUGGAUGCUCACAUUCAUGAAGAUGGCUCCAUAUGUGCCUUUGUCGGAAUUCUCGUGUUGAAUCUUCUGAUGGCAAAUCUUGGUUGUCAACUUGACACACCUGGGAAGAUGGGUCUCAACUGAGGACUCUCCUUCAUCAAAUAUAGGGGGAGAUGUUGCAGGUAUUUGAACAAACUGUGUGAAGAUGUGCUGCUGUUUUACCUUAUGCAGGCAUUUGAUUGGUUUAAUAAAGAGCCGAGUGGCCAAUAGCUGGCAGGAGAGGUGAGGCGGGACUUCCGGGCAGAGAGAGGAACUCUGGGAAGAAGAGAGGUAGUGACACCAUGGAGAUGCAAAACAAGUUGGACAUACAGAAUGGAGAAGACGUAAAAAGCCAUGUGGCAAAAUACAGAGGAAUAGGGAUGGGUUAAUUUAAGUUCUAAGGCCAAGCUUUCAUAAUUAAUAAUAAGUCUCCAUGUCAUUAUUUGGGGGCUGGUGGUUCAAAGAAAGUCCAACAAGAAAGACCUGACACAAGGAGCAUUUAGUAGCUCAAAACUGUAAUCUUCCAUCUUCCACUGAUUUGCUGGUGACUUUUGAGUUAAACUUGGAGUUUCUUGUCUAGAAAAUGCACACAAUUAAUGACCAGGGUACUUGAGAACUUUGUUUUCCCUGUAGUGACAUGUUAUAAUUGCCACAUUACUGUGAUAAAAUUUGGGGAAAUACCUGAAUAUUUGGGCUGUUUUUCCCCCUAGCAUUUUGACUGCCAUGCACAUAUGAGGUACUGAGCUAUGCUUAUGGGUAAAAAUGAUGACUAAUGGCUACAUUUGCCAUGAGGGUGACACACGAGUUCCAGAUUCAUCUCCUGACUCAUUUAUUCAGCUCUCUAUUUUCUGCGUUCAUUUGCAUCAGCGCUUUGGCAUCUACAAUGUGCCACACAUGGUAUUGUAUGCUGGUGACGCCGCACUGAAAAAGAAUGGCUGCUGCCCCCUGGAGGCGCUUCACUCAAAUUACACUCUGGCGUGUUGCCGCUUGCUCUUCCACCCUCUUGGUUUCCAUCGCGCGGGUCUGGAUGAAACCAUACGCUGUCUUGGAACUGAAUAUCAUUUCAUUUGCUCUUUGA